GUCGGAGGGCCGGGCGCGAUGAUGUUUGCGUUGUUAUAAUUGGGCUCUCGCGGGGAUAAUACACGCGUUCGCCAGCGUGCGAUUCCGCCGUGCCGCGUACUACAGUACAUCGGGUAAAUAUUGUUCGGCCGUGACGAUACGGUAUUUUACCCGCCGGUUCCCAUGCGCGGCGGGAAAAUAAAAACGGUCUCGGUGAUCAUAAUCUAUACGAUCCAGCGGUCCCCGCUACGCGGCCUUUUAACGAACUUUGCUCGGCCCGUACUAAAACGUCCACAAUUGAAUACAACGCGCUUUUAAAAGAGUGAAUGAAACAAAAUACAUGUUGUUAUACGUACGUUUCAUUUGUCCCGUCUCAUUGUUCCUGUUUUUGUGUUCGAUCCGUCGAUUUAUAACCUAAACUGAAUCACCGGUUCGACAAAUAAUUAGGUAAAAGUGUACAAGCAAGAGCAUUUAUUUAAUAAAAAAAAAUAAUACGCUAACGAAGGCAUUUUUUUUUUUUCAGGUCAAUAUUGCAAAUGAUACGAAUUUUCAAAAAUUAUAUUUGGUCCCUUUCAGACUCCCAGUGGUGACCGCUGUGAUCUAUACCCAUCAUAUAAUAAAUAUUUAUAAAACAAAGGCGUUAUUUCCGUCUGUCUGCGCGCUUAUUAGCUGUUCUUCUAGAUUACGCAACGAAUUUCGAUACGGUUACAUCUUAUAUACACAAUACACGUGCAUGUCAACCGUCCC